ACUCCUACGGGAGGCAGCAGUAGGGAAUCUUCCACAAUGGGCGCAAGCCUGAUGGAGCAACACCGCGUGAGUGAAGAAGGGUUUCGGCUCGUAAAGCUCUGUUGUUAAAGAAGAACACGUAUGAGAGUAACUGUUCAUACGUUGACGGUAUUUAACCAGAAAGUCACGGCUAACUACGUGCCAGCAGCCGCGGUAAUACGUAGGUGGCAAGCGUUAUCCGGAUUUAUUGGGCGUAAAGAGAGUGCAGGCGGUUUUCUAAGUCUGAUGUGAAAGCCUUCGGCUUAACCGGAGAAGUGCAUCGGAAACUGGAUAACUUGAGUGCAGAAGAGGGUAGUGGAACUCCAUGUGUAGCGGUGGAAUGCGUAGAUAUAUGGAAAACACCAGUGGCGAAGGCGGCUACCUGGUCUGCAACUGACGCUGAGACUCGAAAGCAUGGGUAGCGAACAGGAUUAGAUACCCUGGUAGGAUAGCG
rnacentral:rRNA from 1 species